rnacentral:rRNA from 1 species
UACAGAGGUCCCAAGCGUUGUUCGGAUUCAUUGGGCGUAAAGGGUGCGUAGGUGGCGUCGUAAGUCGGGUGUGAAAUCUCGGGGCUUAACUCCGAAACUGCAUUCGAUACUGCGGUGCUUGAGGACUGGAGAGGAGACUGGAAUUUACGGUGUAGCAGUGAAAUGCGUAGAGAUCGUAAGGAAGACCAGUGGCGAAGGCGGGGUCUCUGGACAGUUCCUGACACUGAGGCACGAAGGCCAGGGGAGCAAACGGG